CUCCCACCCUCCUCAGUUCCGCCGCACCCGCUGGAAGGAAAAAAGAUAUCGAGUCGCCCCCAAAGAAAAUUAAGGGAAAUCUACCAGCCCUAGCACUCUAGCAGAUUUGUGAAGGCUGCUGCCGCCGGAUCCCGUCCCGGUGCUCUUCGCCAACGAAAUCUCCCAGGGAUCCCCUCGCCAUCGUCCAUUCACCUGAAGGCACUAACUCCCCAGCAUUAGACCACUGGCGGCGCGCGAUUCCGAGGAGUCCUGAGGUAAGCAACUGCCGCCAGCCCCCUUCUCUUCCCAUAUCUGAUCUGUGAUUUUCCUGUUUUUAUUUUCUGGCGGAUGUGAGAUCUGUUAGGUAGCUGCCAAAACCAACGUGGCAUGGGGCUGCAAUCUGGACACGGAGGUAUGAAGUUCUUUUCGAGAUUGGAGUGCAAGAACGUUGUAAUAUGAGUUCGCCUGCUAUUCCUUCACUGCAACCUAUUGGUUUGGGACGAUUUGAUUUAGAUUUAGUGGUUACUGGCUGACACAAGCAAAAUAUUGCGGCAUCAAGAAUAACUCCUCGACAUGCUGCAACCGUACAAGGCAGAAUGCGAGCACUCUAUGUUUCUGAACGAGGGUGGUACUAGAUUGAUGUAAUAAAGGAUUACACAUAUAUAGUCAUUUGCAGACACUUGUUAACUGCAUUUUAUAGCCUUUAUCUCUUACAUUGCCACAUAUUAUGCCCCAUCAAACUUUGUAAUGUUAAAAGGUAUUGCUGUUUGCAAUGGUUUUAUGAGCAUUUCUA